UACGUAGGGUGCAAGCGUUGUCCGGAAUUAUUGGGCGUAAAGAGCUCGUAGGCGGUUUGUCGCGUCUGCUGUGAAAACUCGGGGCUUAACCCCGGGCCUGCAGUGGAUACGGGCAGACUAGAGUGCGGUAGGGGAGACUGGAAUUCCUGGUGUAGCGGUGAAAUGCGCAGAUAUCAGGAGGAACACCAAUGGCGAAGGCAGCUUGCUGGGACGGUACUGACGCUGAGACGCGAAAGCGUGGGGAGCAAACAGG
rnacentral:rRNA from 1 species